ACUCGUUCCGUUUCUUCCUGAUCCCGGCGGCACCGAUGCUAUCGGCAGCGCUGCCCUGUCCUUCGGGAGCUUGUCACAGUGUUUGCCUUGCGGGAGUUUGGACAAAUAUACAAGGAGCUCCAAUUUAUCAACGCGUGAAGCCUCGUUCGUUAAACGGGCCUUCCGAGCUGCAGCGGCGGCGGGGCUUUUGGUUUUGGUUUGUAGGGGCAUGGUCGGGAGCAGCUCUUGUCACCAACACCCAGUAUGAAUGUAUUACUGGAACCAAUGAAUGUAUAAUAAACGAGAAGGAAACACAGAAGGCUGUUGAGAAGAAAGCUCGUGGUAGAAAGAAAGAGAAAAGAUCCACAUACAUAAAAUGCCAUUGCAUUAUUCUCCUAUCUCUAUUUUCCACCACCCUUCCUAUGUAGGUUUGGUGGUGGUUUUUUUUUAUUUAUUUAUUUUCAGUAUGUUGUAUUUUUAACUUUGCUUUUAAAAACUAAAGAGUGGAAAGCAGUUCAGGCAAGGGAUAAGCAAACUGACAAUAAAUAUUCACUUCUGCUAAUUUCACUAAAUCAUCAUAAUGUAAGAUUACACUACUAGCUUUUUGGGGAACCAGAAUUAUCCAAGCAAUGACAUUUCUCUCUAACAAAAAUGUGCAUGGAAUACCCCAGGUGAGAAAGCAGCAGAACACAGAGAAAACUGCAUUUUCAUGUAAACCCAUGUUCCUCAAAUAACAAUGAAUUUGCUUUAUAACUCCCAGUGCCUGAACCAAGGAAGUUACUAUUUACAUUAUGAACUGUACAGAAAUGGACUCAUUCCACUUGGAUUGCAACAGCAGCAAAGGGAGACACAGGCACCAACUACUGGAAGGCAAUCAGACACCACCCCGAACCAGAAUCUGCUUUUUCUGUAUGGAGCUGAAUAAAGCGCUGAACCUACAGCCAACAGGCACAGGAACAAGAUGCAUACGACAAAGCAUGACAUCAAGUGCCAGAUUCCGUUCCCAUGUACGUGCAGGGGUGUCCCGCACUCGAUUUCAUCUGCCAGGUCCCAGAUCCUGCUGUCACCUGUAACGCAAGCCAUGCUCUGCCAGGCCUGCCUAGCCUUGGCAUGGCCGGGCUUCUGGCUCCAGCCCUGCAGAUCUGAGCAGUUGCUCACAUUCACGUUUUCAAGAUCAAGACCAAAAGGUAUGGCCUAUGUUCUGCACAGGGUGUAACAGUCUGCUAGCAGAGUGUUCCUCUGGCACACUAAUUUCAUUAUUAUAUUUCAUUAUUCUAAUUCAAUGCAAUCCUUCCCAAAUUGCUCUCUAGGACCCACUUCCUUCAAGGAGCUUUUAGCAAACAUCUCUGCAUCUGCACAGAGCCUUCUUUAUCCCAGUCAAACCUCUGGAACAUUCGGGUGUAAAAAUAAUUUCACUUAAAGCGUACACUGAAUGACAGAUUGUUUUAAAUGGUUUGUCUAUAACUUGCAAGAAAAAAAAUGUAAUUUUUAAAAGCUGUUUGAAAAAUAAACUAUCAGAAA